CACGGACCAAGGAGUCUAACAUGUGCGCGAGUCACUCGGUCUUGAUUAGGCCAGGGAGGCGCAAUGAAGGUAAAUUAUACGGCACAGUUUGUCUCUCGGGGCAGACUGUGUUUGUUGUUACGAUCCUUACAAAAUUCAGUUGUAUUGCCAGCAUUAACGUGUUGUGUAAUAUGAUUGAUUGUUUGGCGCAGUAACGGCCUGCCAAUUUCGCCUAUUGACGAUCUGGCAGAGUUGUAGCGUACACGUUGGUACCCGAAAGAUGGUGAACUAUGCCUGGGCAAGACGAAGCCAGAGGAAACUCUGGUGGAGGUCUGUAGCGAUUCUGACGUGCAAAUCGAUCGUCCGACCUGGGUAUAGGGGCGAAAGACUAAUCGAACCAUCUAGUAGCUGGUUCCUUCC
rnacentral:rRNA from 1 species